UAAGAACUAACAGGAUUCCCCUAGUAGCGGCGAGCGAAGCGGGAAGAGCUCAAAUUUAUAAUCUGGCACCUUCGGUGUCCGAGUUGUAAUCUCUAGAAGUGUUUUCCGCGUUGGACCGCACACAAGUCUGUUGGAAUACAGCGGCAUAGUGGUGAAACCCCCGUAUAUGGUGCGGACGCCCAGCGCUUUGUGAUACACUUUCAAUGAGUCGAGUUGUUUGGGAAUGCAGCUCAAAUUGGGUGGUAAAUUCCAUCUAAAGCUAAAUAUUGGCGAGAGACCGAUAGCGAACAAGUACCGUGAGGGAAAGAUGAAAAGCACUUUGGAAAGAGAGUUAACAGUACGUGAAAUUGUUGGAAGGGAAACGCUUGAAGUCAGACUUGCUUGCCGGAGCUUGCUUCGGUUUGCAGGCCAGCAUCAGUUUUCCGGGGUGGAUAAUGACGGUUUGAAGGUAGCAGUCUCGGCUGUGUUAUAGCUUUCCGUUGGAUACGCCCUGGGGGACUGAGGAACGCAGCGUGCUUUUUGCGAAAGACUCGUCUUUUUCACGCUUAGGAUGCUGGUGGAAUGGCUUUAAACGACCCGUCUUGAAACACGGACCAAGGAGUCUAACAUGCUCGCGAGUAUUUGGGUGUCAAACCCGGAUGCGCAAUGAAAGUGAAUGUAGGUGGGAACCGCAA
rnacentral:rRNA from 1 species